CGCAGGAUGGCGGAAUUGGUAGACGCACCGUAAAAGUUGUCAUGUGGGUGGCACGCACAGCAUAUUAUAUUGCUUAGGGAGCCGGUACAUUGAAAGUUCGAAUCUUUCUCCUGCGA
rnacentral:tRNA from 1 species